GCUCUUAUGAAGUUAGCGGCGGACGGGUGAGUAACACGUGGGUAACCUGCCCAUAAGACUGGGAUAACUCCGGGAAACCGGGGCUAAUACCGGAUAACAUUUUGAACCGCAUGGUUCGAAAUUGAAAGGCGGCUUCGGCUGUCACUUAUGGAUGGACCCGCGUCGCAUUAGCUAGUUGGUGAGGUAACGGCUCACCAAGGCAGCGAUGCGUAGCCCACCUGAGAGGGUGAUCGGCCACACUGGGACUGAGACAUAGCCCAGACUCCUACGGGAGGCAGCAGUAGGGAAUCUUCCGCAAUGGACGAAAGUCUGACGGAGCAACGCCCCGUGAGUGAUGAAGGCUUUCGGGUCGUAAAACUCUGUUGUUAGGGAAGAACAAGUGCUAGUUGAAUAAGCUGGCACCUUGACGGUACCUAACCAGAAAGCCACGGCUAACUACGUGCCA
rnacentral:rRNA from 1 species